rnacentral:lncRNA from 1 species
GUGUGUAGGAGCGUGUGUGUACUGUGUUAUGUGUGUGUUAGAGCGUGUGUGUACUGUGUUAUGUGUGUGUUAGAGCGUGUGUGUACUGUGUUAUGUGCGUGUAAGAGCGUGUGUGUACUGUGUUAGAGCGUGUGUGUACUGUGUUAUGUGUGUGUUAGAGCGUGUGUACUGUGUUAUGUGUGUGUUAGAGCGUGUGUGUACUGUGUUAUGUGUGUGUUAGAGCGUGUGUGUACUGUGUUAUAGCGUGUGUGUACUGUGUUAUGUGUGUGUUAGAGCGUGUGUACUGUGUUAUGUGUGUGUUAGAGCGUGUGUGUACUGUGUUAUGUGUGUGUUAGAGCGUGUGUGUACUGUGUUAUGUGUGUGUAAGAGCGUGUGUGUACUGUGUUAUGUGUGUGUAAGAGCGUGUGUGUACUGUGUUAUGUGUGUGUUAGAGCGUGUGUGUACUGUGUUAUGUGUGUGUUAGAGCGUGUGUGUACUGUGUUAUGUGUGUGUUAGAGCGUGUGUGUACUGUGUUAUGUGUGUGUUAGAGCGUUUGUGUACUGUGUUAUGUGUGUGUAAGAGCGUGUGUGUACUGUGCUAUGUGUGUGUAAGAGCGUGUGUGUACUGUGUUAUGUGUGUGUAAGAGCGUGUGUGUACUGUGUUAUGUGUGUGUAAGAGCGUGUGUGUACUGUGUUAUGUGUGUGUUAGAGCGUGUGUGUACUGUGUUAUGUGUGUGUUAGAGCGUGUGUGUACUGUGUUAUGUGUGUGUUAGUGCGUGUGUGUACUGUGUUAUGCGUGUGUUAGAGCGUGUGUGUACUGUGUUAUGUGUGUGUUAG